UACGUAUGGAGCAAGCGUUAUCCGGAUUUACUGGGUGUAAAGGGUGCGUAGGCGGCGCGGCAAGUCAGAUGUGAAAGACCGGGGCUCAACCCCGGGGCUGCAUUUGAAACUGCGGUGCUCGAGUCCAGGAGAGGCAGGCGGAAUUCCUAGUGUAGCGGUGAAAUGCGUAGAUAUUAGGAGGAACACCAGUGGCGAAGGCGGCCUGCUGGACCGGAACUGACGCUGAGGCACGAAAGCGUGGGGAGCAAACAGG
rnacentral:rRNA from 1 species